AAGUCGUAAGAAGGUUUCCGUAGGUUCACAAGGUUUCCGUAGGUGAACCUGCGGAAGGAUCAUUAACACGCAUCCACGUAUCAAAACCCCUCGAGGGAACCCGGGAUCUAUGAGUGUUUACCGCGUUUGACAAUCGGGCCGCUAUUUUUCCAUCAUUAGCCUUUUAUAACUUUUAACCCCUUGUACUCUUUUGUACUGAACCAAGGCUGAGAGAUAUUACGAAACUAAAGAACAACUCUUAGCAACGGAUAUCUUGGCUCCC
rnacentral:misc_RNA from 1 species